ACUCCUACGGGAGGCAGCAGUGGGGAAUAUUGCACAAUGGGGGAAACCCUGAUGCAGCCAUGCCGCGUGUGUGAAGAAGGCCUUCGGGUUGUAAAGCACUUUCAGUAGGGAGGAAGGUAGUGUAGUUAACACCUGCAUUAUUUGACGUUACCUACAGAAGAAGCACCGGCUAACUCCGUGCCAGCAGCCGCGGUAAUACGGAGGGUGCGAGCGUUAAUCGGAAUUACUGGGCGUAAAGCGCAUGCAGGCGGCCUGUUAAGUCAGAUGUGAAAGCCCGGGGCUUAACCUCGGAAUUGCAUUUGAAACUGGCAGGCUAGAGUCUUGUAGAGGGGGGUGAAUUUCAGGUGUAGCGGUGAAAUGCGUAGAGAUCUGAAGGAAUACCAGUGGCGAAGGCGGCCCCCUGGACAAAGACUGACGCUCAGAUGCGAAAGCGU
rnacentral:rRNA from 1 species